rnacentral:lncRNA from 1 species
UACUCAGGGCCUAAUUUGGUUUAUUAUUGUUGGGGUUAGAUAUCUCUAAUAUUAAUAUUUUUAGGAAAAAUCCCUUAUUUAUUUCUUUAGUUAUAUGUAUACAUUAUGGGAAUCUUAUUACUGUAUAUUAUACUGCUUCUCUGCGGUCCAUUGGUUGCACCAUGCACCAAUCUUUGGAUUAAUUCUAUGAAGACACUGGUGCUAGGGUUGAAUCAAUC